GACGGGUGAGUAACACGUGAGAAUUUGCCUUUAGGAGGGGGAUAACAAUUGGAAACGACUGCUAAUACCCCAUAUGCUUUCGAGUGAAAUGAAUUAUUUCGCCUAGAGAGAAGCUCGCGGCUGAUUAGCUUGUUGGUAGGGUAAGUGCCUACCAAGGCGACGAUCAGUAUCUGGUUUGAGAGGACGAUCAGACACACUGGAACUGAGACACGGUCCAGACUCCUACG
rnacentral:rRNA from 1 species